CCGCGUGAGGGACGAAGGCCUCUGGGCUGUAAACCUCUUUUCUCAAGGAAGAAGAUAUGACGGUACUUGAGGAAUAAGCCACGGCUAAUUCCGUGCCAGCAGCCGCGGUAAUACGGGAGUGGCAAGCGUUAUCCGGAAUUAUUGGGCGUAAAGCGUCCGCAGGCGGCUUUUCAAGUCUGCUGUUAAAGCGUGGAGCUUAACUCCAUCAUGGCAGUGGAAACUGAAAGGCUUGAGUAUGGUAGGGGCAGAGGGAAUUCCCGGUGUAGCGGUGAAAUGCGUAGAUAUCGGGAAGAACACCAGUGGCGAAGGCGCUCUGCUGGGCCAUUACUGACGCUCAUGGACGAAAGCCAGGGGAGCGAAAGGGAUUAGAUACCCCUGUAGUCCUGGCCGUAAACGAUGAACACUAGGUGUCGGGGGAAUCGACCCCUUCGGUGUCGUAGCUAACGCGUUAAGUGUUCCGCCUGGGGAGUACGCACGCAAGUGUGAAACUCAAAGGAAUUGACGGGGGCCCGCACAAGCGGUGGAGUAUGUGGUUUAAUUCGAUGCAACGCGAAGAACCUUACCAGGGUUUGACAUCCUGCGAACCUCUUAGAAAUUUGAGGGUGCCUUCGGGAAUGCAGUGACAGGUGGUGCAUGGCUGUCGUCAGCUCGUGUCGUGAGAUGUUGGGUUAAGUCCCGCAACGAGCGCAACCCACGUUUUUAGUUGCCAGCAUUUAGUUGGGCACUCUAGAAAGACCGCCGGUGAUAAACCGGAGGAAGGUGUGGAUGACGUCAAGUCAUCAUGCCCCUUACACCCUGGGCUACACACGUACUACAAUGCUACGGACAAAGGGCAGCAAACUCGCGAGAGCUAGCAAAUCCCAUAAACCGUGGCUCAGUUCAGAUCGUAGGCUGCAACUCGCCUACGUGAAGUAGGAAUCGCUAGUAAUCG
rnacentral:rRNA from 1 species